rnacentral:rRNA from 1 species
CCUACGGGGGGCUGCAGUAGGGAAUAUUGGUUAAUGGGCGAAAGCCUGACCCAGCAACGCCGCGGGAACGAUGAAGGCCUUCGGGUUGUAAAGUUCUUUUUACAGGGAUGAGGAAGGACAGUACCUGUAGAAUAAGUCUCGUCUAACUACGUGCCAGCAGCCGCGGUAACACGUAGGAGACGAGCGUUAUCCGGAUGUACUGGGUGUACAGCGCGUGCAGGCGGUAUGGUAAGGUGGAUGUGAAAGCUCCGGGCUUAACGGGGAGAGGUCGUUCAAAACUACCAGACUAGAGGACAGCAGAGGGGAGUGGAAUUCCGAGUGUAGCGGUAAAAUGCAUAGAUAUUCGGAAGAACACGAGUGGCGAAGGCGGCUCUCUGGGCUGUACCUGACGCUCAGACGCGAAAGCUAGGGUAGCAAACGGGAUUAGAUACCCCUGUAGUC